GCUCCUCCAGCAACACAAUGUGAUCCAUCGGCAAGGAGAGACACCAAUAAGGCAUCCGAUAAGCUUCAUCCAGUGGCUGAUGGAAGCAGAGGCAGACACCCACAGCUAAACACUGAACUGAACUCUGGAACCCAGUUGCAGAGAGGGAGGAGUGAAGAUCAAAGAGGUCGGGAUCAGGCUCAUGAAACCCACAGAAACAGCUGACCUGAACAAGGGGGAGCACAUUGACCCCAGACUGAUGUCUGCGAGGCCAGCAUGGGUCUGAUCCAGACCCCUGAAUGUGGAUGUCAGUGAGGAGGCCUCGAUGCACAGUCAUUGUUGACUGAACAAUGAAUACAUUUUAAUAUGUAAUCUACUGUUUGCUACAAGAACUCAGAAGAAAUAACACAUUUAAUUAAAUGCAUCAGAACUUCAGAGGUAUCAACACACUCUUCAAAGGAUCCAGGGGAAAACACCAAUUACACAUUCCAGUAAACAUGCCCAUAGUAGACUGGAGAUUAUUAGUUAACACUCCAAUCAACCCAACAAACAUUUUUUGAGCCUAUACAUCAUGCACGAGGACUAUCUCUGUGAGGAAUACAAAG
rnacentral:lncRNA from 1 species